rnacentral:lncRNA from 1 species
GAGGGGGGAUGGGGUGGAGUAAAAAUUGCUCGUACUGAAUCUUCAGCUUUUAAAAAAAUAGAGAGAGAGAGACAAAUGCUGCUGUUAUCUUAUCACGUGUCUGGUUGUAGUGGGCUGGUCAUAGACUCGUCAUAAUACCGGGCGUCAUAUAGCAACCAGAUUUUGGCCGUGUUACUCGCGCUCUCUCCGUCAAUGAAAAAUCACGCCGCUUUUUUAUCUGCUCGAGGUACCGAGGGUUGGACGUUUAAUAUUCGCGGUGGAGGAAGGGAAAAAAAUGCUUAAUUAAAAACCGCUAUGAGGAGAGGGGAGAAUGAGAGUCAACGGACCCCGUUCUUUUAAAAUUGUCUCAUAAUUUCUGACGUCUACCUAACUAGAGGGCUAGGGAGUAUUAACCGCUCAGUGAGCUUUUGCACUUGACUGCCGUUUCAGACUUUAUGCUCCAGUGCCUAGAAUCAACAUUAUUUUUUAAUCGUUAUGCGAAAAUUUUCCUUCACCUUACAAAAUUAAUUUAAACACAGAACAAGAGAAAUUCGGUGGCUAUACAGUGAACAGUAUCACCUUUUGUUGGAUGUAUCCCCUUUACUAGCUAGUGGAUCUUUCAGCUUAACCAUGUUGUCGCCACAAUUGAGUGAAUUUGAUAUUCUACAGAAUAUGGGGAUGGAAGCGAGUACACCCUUUUCACGUCCAUCCCCGCGACGAGCAAAUUCGGCAGGACCUCGGUCUAACAACACCUCCAAAAUUGACCCCAGCUUCAAGUCCAAACGGUACCGGGACAAACUCCGGGAACAGAUUAAAGCUUUAGAGAACCUUCUACCAGUCGACAAGGCUACACUUCACAGGAAACUGGACAGUCAGACCGUCUUUAGACUUGCCAUCUCUUUCUUCAGGAUUAAGAGUUUCAUAGCAGGUAAGUAACGUCACUUUACCAAUAGCUAUUCCUACAACUUUACUCAUUGACAUUUUAGUCCACCAUUUUUUCCCGCUUUGAAAUUUAUUUUAUGCCUAUACUCAGUCGCUUGUAACUUGAGGCCCAUCCAUUGUGUCAAAAGGGUUAAAAUAUAUUGGCAGUAAAAUCAUAUCUUCGAUACACAAAACAAUAUGGCUAUAGAAUCGCUGUCUUGUAUAUGCUUUUGCGAAGGGUUUGGGUUAUGAGACAAAAUGUCUUUUAAAAGUUAAGCAUAUUACGAGUGAUGUCUCUAUUAUAUUCGAUCCGUCUGACAUGAUAUUUGAUUGUAUUCACUUUCAAUACAUCAGUUCCUUUAAUUGAAAGAAAAAAGAAGUUUCUGUACUCAUUCAUCGGUGAUUGUAAGCUAAGAUCCUAUAUUAACGUACAAGCUUUGCCAACAAUUCAUUUUUAGGAAAUGAAAAUAAAGAUGCCCAAAGAUGUUAAUCGAGGCGAAUUGUUUGUACGAUAUAAGAGAUUCAAUAUUUAUAUUUAGUCAUAGAUUUAUAUCAUGUAGAUAUUUAUUUAAAAAAACUGAAAUAACUUAGAUAAAGAGAAAGAAUAAAAGAACUACCCUUAUCUUAUAUGUUUCGAAAAGUAAAAAGGAAAGUAUUAUUAUAUGUGUCACCAAUUUAAAACCUGACAAAACAUGACAAGUAAAAAAAAAAA